UGGGGAAUAUUGCACAAUGGGCGAAAGCCUGAUGCAGCGACGCCGCGUGAGGGAUGAAGGCCUUCGGGUUGUAAACCUCUUUCAGUAGGGAAGAAGCGAAAGUGACGGUACCUGCAGAAGAAGCGCCGGCUAACUACGUGCCAGCAGCCGCGGUAAUACGUAGGGCGCAAGCGUUGUCCGGAAUUAUUGGGCGUAAAGAGCUCGUAGGCGGUUUGUCACGUCUGGUGUGAAAAUCCAUGGCUCAACUGUGGACUUGCAUCGGGUACGGGCAGACUAGAGUGCGGUAGGGGAGACUGGAAUUCCUGGUGUAGCGGUGGAAUGCGCAGAUAUCAGGAGGAACACCGAUGGCGAAGGCAGGUCUCUGGGCCGCAACUGACGCUGAGGAGCGAAAGCAUGGGGAGCGAACAGG
rnacentral:rRNA from 1 species